AGAUAGAGAGGUUGUUUCCGAUACCAAAAGUUGCCCUCGAUAUCAUGGUUGGGUCGAUCAGGCCGGAUCAACAGACAGUGCUCAAGAAAGCAAUUAUGUUUUUAUAAUCAUGGUGUCCCGGCCAGCUUUCGAGUACCUCGAUUAGUUCCAGGGACACCUUCCACCCCCCACCAGCAAUAUGUAAAGACCUAAUGGUACUCAACCCACUAUGUUGACCAAUAGGUGACACCCUUUGGUGCUCAAGAAAGCAAUUAUGUUUUUAUAAUCCUGGUGUCCAGGCCAGCUUUCGAGCACCUCGAUUAGUUCCAGGGAUACCUUCCACCCCCACUAGCAACAUGUAAAGACCUAAUGGUUCUCAAGCCAUUAUGUUGACCAAUAGGUGACACCUUUUGGUGCUCAAGAAAGCAAUUAUGUUUUUAUAAUCGUGGUGUCCAGGCCAGCUUUCGAGCACCUCGAUUAGUUCCAAGGAUACCUUCCACCCCCACCAGCAACAUGUAAAGACCUGUACUCAACCCACUAUGUUGACCAAUAGGUGACACCCUUUGGUGCCCAAAAAGCAAUUAUGUUUUUAUAAUCGUAUUGUUCGAGCCAUCUUUCACAUACCUUGACUAGUUCUGGGAAUACCUUCCACCCCCACCAGCAACAUGUAAGACCUAAUGGUUCUCAACCCACUAUGUUGACCAAUAGGUGACACCCUUUGGUGCCCAAAAAGCAAUUAAGUUUUUAUAAUCGUGGUGUUCGAGCCAGCUUUCACAUACCUUGACUAGUUCUGGGAAUACCUUCCACCUCCCACCAGCAACAUGUAAAGACCUAAUGAUUCUCAACCCACUAUGUUGACUAAUAGGCCAUACCCUUAGGUUCUCAAGAAAGCAAUUUUGUGUGUUACUUUAGCCCACUAGUUGCCUCCAUGUGACUAGGAGGUCAUAGAUUUAAGCCGCGAAAACAACCUCACGAACUUUUCUUGAUCGAAUCGCAAUUUGAAUCUAUCAGAAUUCAAGACAUAUAGUCAACAUAUGCUAUAUAGUAUUGAUAUUUCUUUCAAAGGCUUGGACUUUAAUUAUCUAGUCUAGUUUUAGUGUCACAGGUUUCCGAUUUGGUUGUCAUUUUCAUAUUGUGAUUUGUGAAUAGCAACAAGAUCCUAGUUGGUAGUGACAUGACAAAAGUUGCAUCUAAUAUUUUAGCAGCAGGACCACGAGACGUGGAAACAACCUCUUGCAGAGUAAGAUUGCGUAUAAUAGACCCUAAUAGUCCGGCUCUUCUAUAGACCCGUGAAACUUGUGAUCCUGCUCUUCCUCAAACCCUGCGCAUAGCAGGAAUAGUGCAACG
rnacentral:lncRNA from 1 species